CCAUCUCUUCGUCAUUCCGCUGUCUUCUUCUCGCUGGUGAAAGGAGUCAGGAUUAAUCCGGAGUCACCGCUUCCCGUCCACCGGCCAUUCCCCCUCAACUCCGAACGGUGGGAUCUCAGUCUCUGCCCGUGGACGCCCGCAAGACUCUGGCUGCGGUAAACAGGACUUUGGCUCGUUAACCCGCUGGAGCCAAGUUGUAUUCCAAUGAAAUAAAUGAUUUUUUUUUUAAAC